UACGGGGGGGGCAAGCGUUGUUCGGAAUUACUGGGCGUAAAGCGCGCGUAGGCGGCUUUUCAAGUCAGACGUGAAAUCCUUAGGCUUAACCUGAGAACUGCGUUUGAUACUGUUGGGCUAGAGUGUGGAAGGGGCUACUAGAAUUCCGUGUGUAGCGGUGAAAUGCGUAGAUAUACGGAGGAACACCAGUGGCGAAGGCGAGUCCCUGGACAACACCUGACACUGAGGCACGAAAGCUAGGGGAGCAAACGGG
rnacentral:rRNA from 1 species